rnacentral:lncRNA from 1 species
GUGAAAGGUAUUUCUCAGAGAUGGGCCCAAAGCUGCUUCUGUUUCCUUGUGGCCUCAGGCUGGCUCUAGCUAGUAGGACACCAUGACCCAGAGUAACUAAAGGGAAUUAUUGGCAUCCUCCCACGAGCUCCUACCAGGCCAGUGCCAGAAACACUCAUCUACUCCCUUAUGGAAGAUCACUGAGUCAUGAGAUCUGUGGUUUGUCUGAUUCUCCACUUCCCGAAGCCAGCCAAGGCUAACCGACCUGGGAUUCUGAGAGACUGUCCAGAGGUUGGAGGUCUGGAGGAAGAGGACUCCCUCUUUUACUUCAUUCAGUUGUCCCCCACAUCCUCAGCAGUAGAAGUGUUUCUUGCCAUUUUAGCUUUCAGAGGCCAGUCUCAUUUUGUCCAGCAAUGACAGCAACAGCAAAACCUUCCUUUGGCCCUCAUUCACAAUACAGUGUUCUGGGAGGAGGCGGCUGACCAGCUGACUGCAGUGAUGAAGAAAGGAGUGUCCCACAGGACUCUGAUUCAGCAGGGACCUCCAGAGCUUCUGACUCAUGGGGGUGUGCUCCCAAGGGACAUAGGUGUGUCUUCAAGUGCCAAGAAUGAAUGGGAACUGGCUUCUGCACUUGGCCCUGUGAGAACAGCCUAAGCCAAGGGAGGGGAGAUUCUAAAAGAAAUGACUGUAAUUAAAGGUAGAAAAAAGUGGAUGAGUCAAAAAAAUGUAUAAAUAGUGUUUAAUAUUCAACUUAGUACUUAAUUAAAUAUUGUCUUCUAUUAUUUAUAUUCACUACAAGUAUCAAAGCCUUUUCUUCCCAAGUUGACUAUAAACUCUUUGAAGGCAGGGACCAUAGUUUUCUAAACUCCAUUCAACCAAAGCAUACUAAAUACUCUUUGUUAGUGUACCAUCGGCACACAACCCAUUGCCAGAUAUGGAGUCAUCCCCAGUAAUUACUUGCAUUAAACUGAAUUCCCUCUAGCAAGCAACUGUUCGCAAUGAAUGGGUCUAGUGGUCCCAUGGAAGAAAACAAGGAAGCUUGAAGUAGUCCUGCCAUGGAG